rnacentral:lncRNA from 1 species
AUGAAGCAUAAAUACAAUACACUGUCAUGGUACAAAAAAGAAAGAUCAACUCAGCUUAGACAGUUUAUAGUUCAUCAGCCAGAGGUUGGCUUAUCUUUUUUUUAAGGGACGUAGCCUAUAACUACAUCACAGAAAAAACAACAUGUAGGUGUCCUCUUACUCAAGAAAGGCCUUGUGACACUGGAGAUAAGUUUGGAAGAAUAUGGAUCUGUCAACCUGAGGAAUUGGGAAAGAUGCAAAUAUGGAUCUGUUGACCUGAGGAAUUGGGAAAGAUGCAAAUAGAUAAAAACAGAACUAUGGUCCAACAGAUGUGGUAUAUUUGGUAUGGUAGAUUAGAUCCAUCCACAAAUUCUUUGCUGCCCCUCCUAGUAAGAGGCAUGGCCUAA